rnacentral:rRNA from 1 species
CCUACGGGAGGCAGCAGUGAGGAAUAUUGGUCAAUGGGCGCUAGCCUGAACCAGCCAAGUAGCGUGAAGGAUGACUGCCCUAUGGGUUGUAAACUUCUUUUAUAUGGGACUAAAAUGCAGUAUGUAUACUGCUUUGCAUGUACCUUAUGCAUAAGGAUCGGCUAACUCCGUGCCAGCAGCCGCGGUAAUACGGAGGAUCCGAGCGUUAUCCGGAUUUAUUGGGUGUAACGGGAGCGUAGGCGGGUUGUUAAGUCAGUUGUGAAAGUUUGCGGCUCAACCGUAAAAUUGCAGUUGAUACUGGCAGCCUUGAGUGCAGUAGAGGUAGGCGGAAUUCGUGGUGUAGCGGUGAAAUGCUUAGAUAUCACGAAGAACUCCGAUUGCGAAGGCAGCCUGCUGGACUGUAACUGACGCUGAUGCUCGAAAGUGUGGGUAUCAAACAGGAUUAGAUACCCUGGUAGUC